rnacentral:ribozyme from 1 species
CCGGUGCGGCGGCGGCCGACCCGAUGCCUUCGCCGGAACGCGAGGCUGCACGUGUGCGCACCGAUGCGCCUACUAGUGGCGGAAGAA